rnacentral:rRNA from 1 species
GGAGGAAUAUUGGUCAAUGGGCGGGAGCCUGAACCAGCCAAGCCGCGUGAGGGAGGAAGGCCCUAUGGGUCGUAAACCUCUUUUGUCAGGGAGCAAAGCUUGGUACGUGUACCGAGAAGGAGAGUACCUGAAGAAAAAGCAUCGGCUAACUCCGUGCCAGCAGCCGCGGUAAUACGGAGGAUGCGAGCGUUAUCCGGAUUUAUUGGGUUUAAAGGGUGCGUAGGCGGCGGUGCAAGUCAGCGGUAAAAGCCCGGGGCUCAACCCGGCGAGCGUUGAAACUGCAGUGCUAGAGAAGGCGAGAGGUACGCGGAAUGCGCAGUGUAGCGGUGAAAGUGACUUAGAUAUGCGCAGAACUCCGAUUGCGAAGGCAGCGUACUGGCGCCUGACUGACGCUGAGGCACGAAAGCGUGGGGAUCGAACAGGAUUAGAUACC